rnacentral:rRNA from 1 species
AUACGGAGGAUCCGAGCGUUAUCCGGAUUUAUUGGGUUUAAAGGGAGCGUAGGCGGACGCUUAAGUCAGUUGUGAAAGUUUGCGGCUCAACCGUAAAAUUGCAGUUGAUACUGGGUGUCUUGAGUACAGUAGAGGCAGGCGGAAUUCGUGGUGUAGCGGUGAAAUGCUUAGAUAUCACGAAGAACUCCGAUUGCGAAGGCAGCCUGCUGGACUGUAACUGACACUGAUGCUCGAAAGUGUGGGUAUCAAACAGGAUUAGAUACCCUGGUAGUCCACACAGUAAACGAUGAAUACUCGCUGUUUGCGAUAUACAGUAAGCGGCCAAGCGAAAGCGUUAAGUAUUCCACCUGGGGAGUACGCCGGCAACGGUGAAACUCAAAUGAAUUGGCGGGGG